CCUACGGGUGGCAGCAGUGGGGGAUAUUGCACAAUGGGGGGAACCCUGAUGCAGCGACGCCGCGUGGGUGAAGAAGCGCCUCGGCGCGUAAAGCCCUGUCAGCAGGGAAGAAAAUGACGGUACCUGAAGAAGAAGCCCCGGCUAACUACGUGCCAGCAGCCGCGGUAAUACGUAGGGGGCAAGCGUUAUCCGGAUUUACUGGGUGUAAAGGGAGCGCAGGCGGCACGGCAAGCCUGAUGUGAAAGCCCGCGGCCCAACCGCGGGACUGCAUUGGGAACUACCGGGCUGGAGUGCCGGAGAGGUAGGCGGAAUUCCUAGUGUAGCGGUGAAAUGCGUAGAUAUUAGGAGGAACACCAGUGGCGAAGGCGGGUUCCUGGACAUUAACUGACGCUGAGGCACGAAGGCCAGGGGAGCGAAAGGGAUUAGAUACCCUGGUAGUC
rnacentral:rRNA from 1 species